AACUUUCAACAACGGAUCUCUUGGCUCUCGCAUCGAUGAAGAACGCAGCGAAAUGCGAUAACUAAUGUGAAUUGCAGAAUUCAGUGAAUCAUCGAGUCUUUGAACGCACCUUGCGCCCUUUGGUAUUCCAAAGGGCAUGCCCGUUUGAGUGUCAUUA
rnacentral:rRNA from 1 species